rnacentral:rRNA from 1 species
CCUACGGUGGGGCAGCAGUGAGGAAUAUUGGUCAAUGGACGAGAGUCUGAACCAGCCAAGUAGCGUGAAGGAUGACUGCCCUAUGGGUUGUAAACUUCUUUUAUAUGGGACUAAAAUGUUCCACGUGUGGGAUAUUGUAUGUACCAUAUGAAUAUGGAUCGGCUAACUCCGUGCCAGCAGCCGCUGUAAUACGGUGGAUCCGAGCGUUAUCCGGAUUUAUUGGGGUUAAAGGGAGCGUAGGUGGAUUGGUAAGUCAGUUGUGAAAGUUUGCGGCUCAACCGUAAAAUUGCAGUUGAAACUGGCAGUCUUGAGUACAGUAGAGGUGGGCGGAAUUCGUGGUGUAGCGGUGAAAUGCUUAGAUAUCGCGAAGAACUCCGAUGGCGAAGGCAGCUCACUGGACUGCAACUGACACUGAGGCUCGAAAGUGUGGGUAGCAAACAGGAUUAGAUACCCGUGUAGUC